UCUGGUUGAUCUGCCAGAGGUUACUGCUAUCGAGGUUCGACUAAGCCAUGCGAGUCGAAUGUAGCAAUACAUGGCGAACUGCUCAGUAACACGUGGACAACCUGCCCUUAGGACGGGGAUAAACCCGGGAAACUGGGUAUAAUACCCGAUAGGUCUCGAUUGCUGGAAUGCAUCGAGAUUUAAAGCUCCGGCGCCUAAGGAUGGGUCUGCGGCCUAUCAGGUAGUAGUGGGUGUAGCGUACCUACUAGCCUACGACGGGUACGGGUUGUGAGAGCAAGAGCCCGGAGAUGGAUUCUGAGACACGAAUCCAGGCCCUACGGGGUGCAGCAGGCGCGAAAACUUUACAAUGCUGGCAACAGCGAUAAGGGAACCUCGAGUGCCAGGUUACAAAUCUGGCUGUCGAGAUGCCUAAAAAGCAUUUCAUAGCAAGGGCCGGGCAAGACCGGUGCCAGCCGCCGCGGUAACACCGGCGGCUCGAGUGGUAACCGUUAUUAUUGGGUCUAAAGGGUCUGUAGCCGGCCGGAUAAGUCUCUUGAGAAAUCUGGCAGCUUAACUGUCAGGCUUUCAGGAGAUACUGUCUGGCUCGAGGCCGGGAGAGGUGAGAGGUACUUCAGGGGUAGGGGUGAAAUCUUGUAAUCCUUGAAGGACCACCAGUGGCGAAGGCGUCUCACCAGAACGGACCUGACGGCAAGGGACGAAAGCUAGGGGCACGAACCGGAUUAGAUACCCGGGUAGUCCUAGCCGUAAACGAUACUCGCUAGGUGUCGGCCACGGUGCGACCGUUGUCGGUGCCGUAGGGAAGCCGUGAAGCGAGCCACCUGGGAAGUACGGCCGCAAGGCUGAAACUUAAAGGAAUUGGCGGGGGAGCACCACAACGGGUGGAGCUUGCGGUUUAAUUGGAUUCAACGCCGGAA
rnacentral:rRNA from 1 species